GGCUUUUCCUUUCUGUCCUUGGCACGUACAUCUCCGUAGCUUCGACUGGGAAACCAUCAGCUCACCCUGCUUAACGAGUUGAUUCAUACAUGAGGUUGAAUGAUACUGAUGAGACCAGAUUCUGAUCUUGGACUUAAAGAUGAGGAAGCCAGAGAUCAAACAAGAAUGACUCGGAGUGACUCAUCAUAUGUUUCAGCAAGAAGCACUACCAGUGGCGAAAAUGGAUUGUGGCACAGCAUUUGCCAAAUCAAUGUCAUGCCAACAGCUAACAAGCAUCACUAACUUAUGCUCUGAUUGGAGAAGGAAAACAUUCAUAUCAUGACUGGGAAUAGAAUGUUUAGAAUCUGGGAGGAUCAGAUAUUACAGAUGAGGAAUAACAAUAAUAAUACUUGGAGAAUAAAUAUAAGUUGAAGGGAUUGUUUACCUGAGGUCAUUGGAAGAAAAGAAUGCAGAGAAUCACACAAGAGGUGCCUUUGGAAGACAGGAGAUAAAGAGUCAAAAUGUGACUUAAAGAUGCCAAAAGUUCAUGUGAAGAGGGGCUGUAGAUCUUCUAUCACUGAUACAUGGAUGGUGAUUGAUCAUUUGACAUGAGCCCAAAACGAGAGGAUGGUUGCUGAUAUCACCCAGAAAAUAGCUGCUCACCUGAGAAAUAAUCUCAUGGACUUUUUAUGAGGGCCACAAGCUUGAAACACCUGCAACAAUGUCAAAGAUAAUGGAGGCCAAGACUGAUCUAAAAAGAGUUGUGAGGUUAUGCUUUCUCCAGGCUGUGCAUGAUGACAAGCACAGUGAGUUCCUGUUGAUGGAUCUAGACAAACAAUAUAUGCCUGAAAUCAUCUCUAGGGUUGAAAGAAGGAAAAAAGAAAUUGAUUUAGUAGAGAAUUCUGCAAAGUUGAAGAAUAGUCAACAUAAAGGACAGAAUUUCUGCAAGUUGCAAAAUACUGAGAAUGGGAUUAUACUGUGCUUAAGCAUUUAUUAGAUCUAUGUUGGCCUCAAAGCCAUGUCCAUAAUCAUGUAGAAAUCAAUGACAUGACACAGAUUAUUCAAUGGAGAUCAUUUUCAGGUCUAAAGAGAAGAUGUCUAUGCUCACUGGGCAAACCUCUCUUUAGUCCAAAGAUAAAGGAGCUUACUCAUGAGGCACCACCAUUUCCAGAAGCACCCACAUUUCCUGGUUUUCUGAUCACUUUUUGAUGAAAUAUGAACUUUCCUAAAUGGUCAAUUGUUUCUGCUUGGAACAAGUUUCAGCAAGAUGCUACUUCAAGAUUUAGUAUGCAUCCAAGUUAAGUACCAGAGGUUUGGAAGAAUCUGAAGCAAUACUAUAAUAGAUUCAUACCUAUCCACUAUGAUUAACAUAUGGAAAGGGAUAGAUGAGAACAAUGUCAUGGAUGUGGCUACGCAACAGCACAGCAAAGAUCUGAAAUUAAGAGAUUCAUUUUGUUAUUCUUUUACAUCAAGAAAAGAGAAAGAAAGGAGGAGCAUAACAGCAGACUUGAGCUGAAAUCCAAUUGGUUGCACUUGGCAUAGGUGAUGCUAAAGAUAUCAAAGAAGAUCUUGCAAACCAGAAUGACCUUAAAACAAAGGUUGUCAUGGAUUAGGAGAACCUCCUUUACACUUCAAAAGGGCUGGAGGAGUAUAAUUCUACAAUUUUUUUUGUCCAGAAGACUUGGUAGCACUACUUGCCUAAUUAUCCAUUUGCUCCAGUUUAGAGAAGCCUAUAUAGAUGCAAACAUCUCAGUCAUCAUUUACUAAUCAUUCACUUUGGAGAAAGUGAGCGCCCGAUUACAUCAUCACACUUAAAUUGAAAGCUCUGUUCACCAGAUAAAAUAAGCCAACAUUUCUCAGUACCUCUCUCUGUCUUCCUUCUCUGUCAUAUGUUCAUCUCCCAACUUCCUCCAAUAAUGGCGCCUCUUCCUCAGGUGCGCAUAGCCACAGACCUCAUGCUUUAAACCCAUAAUGCUACGAUCCAUCAUCAUGUUCCUUUGCUACACCAUCAACACCCUGACAUAAAUAUCUAAAUGCUUGUCACUGUUGACCAACCAGCACCAGGUUUAAUGGCUACAGCACCAGGUAGCUGUGAUGUAAUUGGAGGGUCCUGCAUUUACACAUCACUGUUUGAUCACCACCAGAGAGCCAUAAUGGUGAACAACACAUACACAAAAACCAUGCAUGCAUCAUCAUGCAUGUCUGCUCUGCCUAUCCUGCAGAGGAACUCUGUGGAGUGGACUAUAAAUUGACUUACCAGACUUCAAGCUUUCCUCCCCUUCCCUUGCACAUCUGCUUGCAGCAUCUCUUUCCUCCUUGGAGCAUUGUAACCAUGCAUCCUGGGGAGGUCGCCAGCAUUUCACCUUCACUCCGAGCCCAUUACAACAUGCCUCAGAACGAUGUUGUUACCUCCUCCCACUUCGGCACUCUGUUUGGGCCUUAUCUCACGCAACAGCUCCAGGCAAAGCCAUUGAUGCAUGGCUUCGGUCUUCCAGGUUCCUUCCUUGACGGCAGUACGACUUCGGAUGAGGCAGGUGGGCGCCAACUGAGCCUGGCAGAAGAGAGGCGGCAGAGGAGGAUGAUUUCCAACAGAGAGUCGGCCCGCCGGUCACGGAUGAGAAAGCAGAAGCACCUCAGUGAGCUGUGGUCACAGGUCAUCCACCUCCAGUCGGCAAACCGGCAGCUGCUCGACGAGCUAAACCGCGUGAUGAGGGAGCGUGAUCAGAUCGCCCUCGAGAACGACCGGCUCAGACACGAAGAAUCCGAGCUCCAAAAGAAACUCGAGAACGCACCCGUGGAGUCCUUUUGACGAGAAUCCUUGAGACGACUGCAUGCACUGGAUUGGUUCGACGAGGGGGAUGCUUUUUUUUUUGGUGUUCUUCUUCCUAAUUCUUAGUCUCUGUCAUAGAAUUCCAAGCUGCACGCAGACAUUAAUUUCAUCAAAAACUGAGCUUUUCUUCGA